ACAGAGGUGGCGAGCGUUGUUCGGAUUUACUGGGCGUAAAGGGCGCGUAGGCUGCGAUGUGUGUCGGGUGUGAAAUCCCAGGGCCCAACCCUGGAAGUGCGCCCGAAACUGCAUCGCUCGAGUGCGGGAGGGGAGAUCGGAAUACAUGGUGUAGCGGUGAAAUGCGUUGAUAUCAUGUAGAACACCGGUGGCGAAGGCGGAUCUCUGGAACGCAACUGACGCUGAGGCGCGAAAGUCGGGGGAGCAAACAG
rnacentral:rRNA from 1 species